rnacentral:rRNA from 1 species
GUCAGGAUGAACGCUAGCUACAGGCUUAACACAUGCAAGUCGAGGGGCAGCGGAGGAGCUGCUUCCUGCCGGCGACCGGCGCACGGGUGAGUAACGCGUAUCCAACCUGGCCCAUAGUAGGGAAUAGCCCGGCGAAAGUCGGAUUAAUGCCCUAUGUUCUUUACAGCGGACAUCUAACGUAAAGCAAAGAUUUAUCGCUAUGGGAUGGGGAUGCGUCUGAUUAGCUUGUCGGCGGGGUAACGGCCCACCGAGGCGACGAUCAGUAGGGUUCUGAGAGGAAGGUCCCCCACAUUGGUACUGAGACACGGACCAAACUCCUACGGGAGGCAGCAGUGAGGAAUAUUGGUCAAUGGGCGUGAGCCUGAACCAGCCAAGUAGCGUGCAGGACGACUGCCCUAUGGGUUGUAAACUGCUUUUAUAGGGGAAUAAAGUGGGGCACGCGUGCCUUUUUGUAUGUACCCUAUGAAUAAGGACCGGCUAAUUCCGUGCCAGCCGCAGC